GAUGAAGAACGCAGCGAAAUGCGAUAAGUAAUGUGAAUUGCAGAAUUCAGUGAAUCAUCGAAUCUUUGAACGCACCUUGCGCCCUUUGGCUAUUCCGAAGGGCAUGCCUGUUUGAGUAUCAUGAACACCUCAACUCUUCACGGCUUUCCGUGAUGAGUUUGGACUUUGGGGGUCUUGCUGGCCUACGAGCCAGCUCCUCUCAAAUGUAUUAGCUUGCCGGUGUUUGGUGGCAUCACAGGUGUGAUAACUAUCUACGCUUGUGGUUUUCCACUAGGUAACCUUCAGCAAUGGAGGUUCACCGGAGCUCACAAAUGUCUCUCCUUGCCAAGGACAGAUUUUGACCAUUUGAUCUCAAAUCAGGUAGGACUACCCGCUGAACUUAAGCAUAUCAAUAAGCGGAGGA
rnacentral:misc_RNA from 1 species